AAAAAAAAAGAAAUUUUCUAGCUCUUAAAAAAGAAUCCUAACAGAAAAUUUUCCAAAGCGCCUUUGCUUAUCUAUUGAAUAAGCUAAAGAAAUAUUUUUCUUCUUCUUCAUCAUCAUCAUCCUAAAGUAAAAUCCAGAAGACAAUUCUAAAAAGCCAGAGAGGAAAAAACAAACUAAUCCAUGGCCAGAGGAACCUUAUGCUGUGUCAAUGGUGAUGAUAGUAGCAGAAUUGGAGAAUGGGGCAGCCAAGGAGACAUGAACCUAUACAAAAGAAAAUUUUCUUCUACAAUUGAUCAACCGAUGAAGAUUAACAGUAUUUCUUCAGAUGUAUUUUUCGGCACUGAUGAUAUGAGUGAUAUGAAAGAAAUUAAGCAUAAGGAAGAAAUAUUGGAGUCUUAUAGAAGGGAAAGAGCAAUGAAGAAUGUGAGAAGAAAGAAGAGUUGGUCUGCAAUCAAAAACUGUUUCGAGUUUCUGAAGAGUAUAGGCAGAUUUAAAUGCUUUAGCUAAAUUGUACUCGGUAGUCUCUGUCAGCUGCAGAGAAAUAUAUGAAAUCAUUGAUUUAAGUUCAUUAACAAUUGUUGUUAGUGUAUUUCAUCUGCUAUGAUUGUUAAGUUUCGAAAA